rnacentral:rRNA from 1 species
AGUUUGAUCCUGGCUCAGAACGAACGCUGGCGGCGCGCCUAAUACAUGCAAGUCGAGCGAGAAGACGUAGCAAUACGUUUGUAAAGCGGCGAACGGGUGAGGAAUACAUGGGUAACCUACCCUCGAGUGGGGAAUAACUAGCCGAAAGGUUAGCUAAUACCGCGUACGCUCCUUGGACUUCGGUUCAGGGAGGAAAGCGAUACCGUGGGUAUCGCGCUCUUGGAUGGGCCCAUGUCCUAUCAGCUUGUUGGUGAGGUAACGGCUCACCAAGGCUUCGACGGGUAGCUGGUCUGAGAGGACGAUCAGCCACACUGGCACUGCGACACGGGCCAGACUCCUACGGGAGGCAGCAGUAAGGAAUAUUGCGCAAUGGGCGAAAGCCUGACGCAGCGACGCCGCGUGGGGGAUGAAGGUCUUCGGAUUGUAAACCCCUUUCGGGAGGGAAGAUGGAACGAGCAAUCGUUCGGACGGUACCUCCAGAAGCAGCCACGGCUAACUUCGUGCCAGCAGCCGCGGUAAUACGAAGGUGGCAAGCGUUGUUCGGAUUUACUGGGCGUACAGGGAGCGUAGGCGGUUCGGUAAGCCCUCUGUGAAAUCUCCAGGCUUAACCUGGAACAGUCGGAGGGGACUGCCGGGCUAGAGGACGGGAGAGGAGCGCGGAAUUCCCGGUGUAGCGGUGAAAUGCGUAGAGAUCGGGAGGAAGGCCGGUGGCGAAGGCGGCGCUCUGGAACGUUUCUGACGCUGAGGCUCGAAAGCGUGGGGAGCAAACAGGAUUAGAUACCCUGGUAGUCCACGCCUUAAACUAUGAAUACUAAGUGUCGGCGGGUUACCGCCGGUGCCGCAGCUAACGCAUUA